UACGGAGGGGGCUAGCGUUGUUCGGAAUUACUGGGCGUAAAGGGCACGUAGGCGGCGCGGCAAGUUAGGUGUGAAAGACCUGGGCUCAACCGAGGAAUUGCACUUAAUACUGCCGCGCUCGAGUCCGAGAGAGGUGAGUGGAAUUCCCAGUGUAGAGGUGAAAUUCGUAGAUAUUGGGAAGAACACCAGUGGCGAAGGCGGCUCACUGGCUCGAUACUGACGCUGAGGUGCGAAAGUGUGGGGAGCAAACAGG
rnacentral:misc_RNA from 1 species